GUAGAGAUAGGGGCAUAUUUUAACCUUAUCUCUACACUCUCUACUCUCUCUGUCUCUGUCUCUCUCUACUCUCUCUGUCUCUCUCCACUCUGUCUCCCCCUCUUUCUUUCUACUCUCUCUGUCUCUCUGUCUUGCUCUACUCUCUCUGUCUCGCUCUACUCUCUGUCUCGCUCUACUCUCUCUGUCUCGCUCUACUCUCUCUGUCUCGCUCUACUCUCUCUGUCUCGCUCUACUCUCUCUAUCUCGCUCUACUCUCUGUCUCGCUCUACUCUCUCUUUCUCUCCACUCUCUCUGUCUCCACCUCUUUCUCUCCACUUUCUGUCUCCACCUCUUUGUCUCUACUCUCUCUGUCUCUCUCUACUCGCUCUACUCUCUCUGUCUCGCUCUACUCGCUCUACUCUCUCUGUCUCGCUCUAUUCUCUCUGUCUCGCUCUAUUCUCUCUGUCUCGCUCUAUUCUCUCUGUCUCGCUCUACUCUCUCUGUCUCGCUCUACUCUCUCUGUCUCGCUCUAUUCUCUCUGUCUCGCUCUAUUCUCUCUGUCUCGCUCUACUCUCUCUGUCUCGCUCUACUCGCUCUACUUGCUCUACUCUGUCUCGCUCUACUCUCUCUGUCUCGCUCUACUCUCUCUGUCUCGCUCUACUCUCUCUGUCUCCCCCUCUUUCUCUCCACUCUCUGUCUCCACCUCUUUCUCUCCACUUUCUGUCUCCACCUCUUUGUCUCUACUCUCUCUGUCUCUCUCUACUCGCUCUACUCUCUCUGUCUCGCUCUACUCGCUCUACUCUCUCUGUCUCGCUCUACUCUCUCUUUCUCGCUCUACUCUCCCUUUCUCUGUCUCCCCGUCUCGCUCUAUUCUCUCUGUCUCGCUCUAUUCUCUCUGUCUCGCUCUAUUCUCUCUGUCUCGCUCUAUUCUCUCUGUCUCGCUCUAUUCUCUCUGUCUCGCUCUACUCUCUCUGUCUCGCUCUACUCUCUCUGUCUCGCUCUACUCGCUCUACUUGCUCUACUCUGUCUCGCUCUACUCUCUCUGUCUCGCUCUACUCUCUCUGUCUCGCUCUACUCUCUCUGUCUCGCUCUACUCUCUCUAUCUCGCUCUACUCUCUGUCUCGCUCUACUCUCUCUUUCUCUCCACUCUCUCUGUCUCCACCUCUUUCUCUCCACUUUCUGUCUCCACCUCUUUGUCUCUACUCUCUCUGUCUCUCUCUACUCGCUCUACUCUCUCUGUCUCGCUCUACUCGCUCUACUCUCUCUGUCUCGCUCUACUCUCUCUUUCUCGCUCUACUCUCCCUUUCUCUGUCUCCCCGUCUCGCUCUAUUCUCUCUGUCUCGCUCUAUUCUCUCUGUCUCGCUCUAUUCUCUCUGUCUC
rnacentral:lncRNA from 8 species